GGCACUGGGGUAAUUCCAAGUCCAUGUAGCUCAGAAAGCAGUGAUAUUUGGGCUUCACCAUUACAUAAGUAUCUUGUGUAGCUGACCCGGGUUGGGGCUCACAUUACAUUUCCUAUACAACCUGUUUUUCCCCCUUAACAAUUGCCUAGUUUAAGCAUGUUCCAUUUUUGAAAGCUAUUUGUGCUUUUCUGUGGAUUGCUUAUUCAGGUUCCUAGUUGGGUAGAGUUUCUUCUUACUAAUUUGUUUUUUGCUGUUGUUGUUGUUUGUCUUUUUGAGACAGGGUCUCACUAUGCAGUUCAGGUUGGCCUUGAGCUCACUUUGUAGCCCAGGCUGGACUCGAAUUUGCAGCGAUCCUCCUGCCUCAGCCUCCCGAGUGCUGGUAUUACAGGGGUGCACCACCACGCCCAGCUCCUUUUACUAAUUUGUAAGAGUUUCUUUAUAUAUUAAAAAAUGAAGCUGGGUAUGGUGACGCACGCCUGUAAUCCCAGCACUCGGGAGGCUGAGGCAGGAAGACCAUGAGUUCAAAGCCAGCCUGGGGGAUGUAACAAGACCGGCUCAAAAACCAAACCACUGCAGAGGCUGGGACAGGAAGAUCAUAGGAGUUCAAGGCCAGCCUGAACUCCACAAUAAGACCCUGUCUCAAACAAAACAAAAACGAACAAAAUGAAACCGAACAAUGCAAAGUAAAAUCCUUGAAAAAUCAGAUCUGUGGGGGGUUGGAGACAGCAAGCUAGAGGGACGUGCACGUACAGGGACGUUUGUGUGUGGAAGCCCCGGCUGGGCCUGCCCGGCCUUUCAUAUCCAGCCCCACUCCAAGGCAGACUUUCUCGAAUCAGUCGUUUCUCCAGAGAUUCCUGCCGGCCCUCCCCUGAGGCAGAGCCGCCUGAUCCAGUCAAGGCCCAGCAGCGUUUCUGCCUUGCUAUGCCGUCACUGCUCCCUGCGACUUCCUUCCAGAGAAUCAGUCCCACCAGGAAGGAGCUGGCGCAGUUACCCCUCAGGAAACUAUUUGAAGACCUUCCUCAGGGUUAAAGACCCGGUGAUUGGUCAGGGGGGCUCUGGGCCGAGCUUUUUCCUGAGAACAACACUUCCGACACAGACUCCGCUCUGGGAAGCUGCGAUGCCUCAGACAUAGGUGCUGUCUGUGUCCUAGCAGAGCCCCCCAGAGGGUGACCUGGGGCAGCAGGGACAGCCCCCCACACCCAGCCAGCCCAGCGCGCGCCUCUCCCGGGCCCGCACUGACUUUGGAGGUGAACUCUGCAAGUCUCUGCCACGUACACCUUCGUGCCUGGGCGGCUGUCUCCCGCACACUCCUUCUCCACCCCGGCCCACAGCCCGGCUGUGUGUGGGCCAGGGACUCUCGGAAGGGGAGGUCCCACCCCAUACCGCAGCACGGACCAGCAGGCUGGGAGCCAGGAUGGAAGAAAAGGGAAAGAAGGAAGCCUCAGUUUCCUCCCUCCCUUCCCUUCAUUCCUUUUCUUUUUUUCUUUUUUUCUUUUUUUUUUUUUUUUUGAGACAAUCUUACUAUGUAGCCCAGGCUGGCCUCAAACUCACAGUGAUCCUCCUGCCUCAGCCUCCCAAGUGCUGGGAUACCAGGCGUGUGCCACACACUUCUGUUUCUUCACGGGAGCUCCAGUCUUCGCCGUCACCUUUGGACAUUCCUCCGGCGCCCGCCCGACUCUGCAGCGGCCAUCCUAAUCCUUGUGAAUCCUUUCACGUCACAUCCUGCAGGAGAUCUGUGCCCUAGGGAGCCUAAUAUCGGGCCUGAAUAGCACCGCGUGAUUGGCCACGAUGACAAGAACUGAAGGAAGGGCGCCGAGACCUGACCGAGAAGGGGCCUCCGCAGGCCACGCGU
rnacentral:lncRNA from 1 species